rnacentral:lncRNA from 1 species
UUGGGUGUCGCGCCUUUUCCCUGCCUUUGCCAAAAACCCAUUUCCGGGCGGUUCCCUUGGAUUGUGCCAUACUCACUAUUUACUGCUCAAAAAGGAAUAAAAUAGAUGCAAAAAUGAGCAAUCAAAUUGCUCAGCAAGUCCACAUAGAACAAAACAACAAUCAACAGAAUAUGCACGUAAGGCAUAGAAAACAAUUCAAGUCAAAGCAACAAAGCAGCUACCGUCAAAUGACAACAUAAGAUUAAGUAAAGAAAACGCUGGUCUUCCACCUUUCGGUAACACUACAUGGCUCGAUCAGCACCAUUUCGUGAAUACCGUUCUCCUGUGUAGUCCUAGUGGUCUGAUCGUAACCACUGAAGACACACCAACACUCUCUUUGCUAGCAUCAGGGUUUAACACUGGAACCCUACUAUCUGCCUUACCAGAUAGUCAAUUUCAACUCUACCACGAAUUUAAUAAAUUCGUGUUGACCAGCUUGAAAAGAUUCCUCCGAAUACAAGAAAAUUCUCCCAAACAAACACUUCUCAAUCAUCAUUACUUAUCUCUGCCAAAGAAGUGCGAACAAUGCACCCUUUCAACAAAGAUUACCCGAAGGUAGAAGUGAAGGAUAAUUAAAAGAAUUAAAUUCCAAAGAAUAAGAUGAUCUCCAAAAAGGAGUAAGUUAAUUGUGGUGAGAUCAUCGCUGCAAUGUGUUCACUUCAAGUUUCGAAGAUUCCAAAUAUUAUCGUUAUUAAGAACAGCUCAUUCCCGUACAAUGGGAGUGCUCGAAUUAGAAGAAGUAAUGUAUGAACAAUAUUUUUAGAGUCUUCAAAUGAAACGUAGAUAUCUUCUCGAUUCACAAUAGUAUGAAAUGUAAUAUCUUCACAAUCAACAUUUUUCACACAAUUAUCAAAUAGGCACGAAAAACUUCACGUCAAGAGAGGGAUAGUGAACUUGCCUGUCGUCCUUAGCUUCAAUCAUUUUUCAAAUUUAAUAUACAAUUGGCUCCGUCUCUUCCAGAGAAUAUAUAUUCUAAGCCAUGUAAAUUAGUACCUUUAGUAUUCUCAUUCACAGAAUAUAAGAAUCUCAAGAUAAUUUUAUUAUUAUUUAUAUCCGAUAAAUAUCAGGAAUUUGAUCGGAUAACUAUAUCCUUUUAAAAAUUCAAUUAAAUAUUAUCAUAUAUAUAAUUGCAUGAUUAAUUAUUUCAUUCUAACCCCAACCUCUUUUACCACCUAAUUCAUUUUAACCACUAACCAGUGAUUUUUGUUAGGCUUUAACAAGAUUCUAGAUUCUUGAUUUUAUCGAUUAGUCCCACCAGCUUUGCUUAACAUUUUUACUCUAUUAAAAGGAUUUUCCUUUUGUUCACUAAACCAAAAUCCCUCUAAUAAGCAAUAAACUUGCUCUUCCGCAGUAUGAUAUCUUUAGCUUAAUAAUUCCAAAAAAAAUCCAUAUUAUCUUAAUAAUUCAAAAUAUAUUAUUCACUUAAAUUAAUUAUUCAUUUACUUGAUACAAAAAUCCUCUACUUGUCAAAUCUGAUUAUUCACUAAAUAAUCGACAAUUUUAUUAAUAAGUUAAACCCAAAUAUUAUCUCGUUAGAUUUUCGAAUUAAUUCCAAUUACCAUAUUUUAAAUCCAACUAGACUCUUCUCCCAAAAUUAUUACUUUAAUAGUGUCCCCCAAAUAUUACCUAAAUCAGAAUCUUACACCAUUCACUUAUUAAAAGUCUUUAUUUCAAAUCCAACUUUUAAAUAAUCUCAGAUUUCUUAUUAUUUUUAUUGAUUAAAUAAUUUCAGUUUGCGAAGUGACCAAUCUACUCUUUUUUUUUUUUUUUUUUUUNGGGAAAAAGUCUACCGGCUUUUCAAAGAAAAGCUUAACUGUAUAUGAAUAAUACUAUGCAAUUUAUGAAGAAGGUACUAAAGUCUGCUAUAAAUUCUACUAUUAAUAAGAUAAUAUUCAUCUUAUUUAAUUAUAGAAAAGAAUUUACCUCAAUAAUUAAAGAUUGAUUGGCACCUUCCCUGAGUUCUCUUUGCAAAUUUUCUCUGCUGCUUAAAAUCUGCUCCCUUUCUAUUUCUCUUGUAAAAGAAAUAAUGUGUACACUCUCUUUAGUAUUUAUACUAGCUUUUAACUAUGAUGAGCUUAACCUAACCCUAGUUAAACCUUACUUGGAGGCUACACAACUGGUUUCUCAAGUACCCAGUUUUCUUGAUUCAAUGUGCAAAUACCACCGGCUUACCUAGUCGGUUAGUUUGUUUAUUUUGUUUUAUUAUUAUCAUUAUUUGCCCGCAAUUAAACGUCUCGCAAUCGCUUAAUUUAUUUCGUUUAUUUAAUGAAUAUUUUAGUCCCGACUCAUUUAACGAUUUUCAUAAAAAUAUUAUUCGGAACUAUAAAAUACUAGAAUAGUUAAUUUAAUGAUUAUUCUAAUUAUUUUCUAAAUAUUCCAAAAUUUAUUAAUUAAAAAUAACGAAAUAUUUAUUAUAGCUAACCUGUAAUAUUUAUAAUAUUUCGGAUCACUAUACUUCUACCAAUUUAUUUACGUAACCAAUAUUUAAAUCCUCGUGAUACGUAAAUAAAUAUAAUUUGCUAGUCAAUAUAAAUUAACCUUAUACCCGUCUUGAAUGUUUUACGUACCAAUACCAUAUAUUUCGAAUUAUUUAAAUAAUAAAUUGUAAUCGCAUAAAAUUAAAUAACUAAUUUAUGUACUUGAAAAUUUGCAGUUGUUACAUUCUUCCCUCCUUUAAAGGAUUCCGACCUCGGAAUCAGAUUUGAUGCUGAAACAAUUCUGGAUACUAUUCUUUCAUUGCCUCUUCCAGUUCCCAUGUGUCUUCUUCUAUAGCUUGAUUUCGCCAAAUCACUUUAACUAAUUUUACUUUCUUGUUUCUCAGCUCUUGAAACUUCGAAUCUACCAUCUCUACUUAUUUUUCUUCGUAUGUAAAGUCCGUUUUAUUUAUUGGCUCAUAACUCAAAACAUGACGGUUAUCAGUCUUGUAAUCUUUUAGCAAGGAUAUAUGAAAAACGUCAUGAAUGUGUUGUAAGCCUGGAGGUAAAGCCAAUUAAUAAGAAAUACUUCCAAUUUCCUUAGAAUCGUUAAUGGUCCUAUAUACCUCGUAUUCAACUUACUUCUCUCCCCACAUCUAACUAUUCCUUUCCAAUAUGACACUUUCAAAAGUACUUUUUCUCCUACGUCAAAGGCUUUCUCUUUUCUUUCUAAAUCUGCAUAUUUCUUUUGUUUACCUUCAGCUGCAACUAUCUUCUUACGUAUCUUUUCAGUUGAUUGCUUAGUGUGUUGAACUAGCUUUGGUCCUAAAAUUUUCUUCUCACCAACUUUAUCCCAACGAAUAGGUGAUCUACACUUUCUACCAUAUAAUGCCUCGUAAGAUGUCAUCCCACUAUUAGAAUGAUAUCUAUUGUUAUAAGCAAACUCUAUUAAACAUCAAUGAUCCUCCCAACCUCCUUUAAAAUUGAAAGAACAAGCUCUUAACAUAUUUUUUUAUAGUCUGAUUCGUCCUUUCACUUUGUCCAUCAGUCUAAGGGUGAUACACAGUACUUAGGUUCAGCUUAGUUCCAAAAUAUUCCUGAAAUGCUUGCCAAAAUCUCGAUGUAAUCCUCGCAUCUCUAUCCGAAACAUUUGAUACAAGCACAACUUUGUUUAUAUACACCUUUACUAAUCUCUCAAGGGUACAUUUCUCACUAAUAGAAAGAAAAUGCGUAGAUAUCGUCCAUCAUUCUAUAAUUACCCAAAUAGCGUCAUGAUUAGCUCGAGUCUUUGGUAAUCCAACUAUAAAAUCCAUGGUGAUGUGUUCCCAUUUUCAUUCUUGGAUCUCUAACGGUUGUAAUAAUCCACUAGGUCUAUGGUUUCCUGCUUUCACCUUCUGACAUGUCAGACAUUUACUUACCCAAUCAGUUAUUUUUAUUUUCAUGUUAGGUCACCAAUAAUUCUUUAAAUCCUGAUACAUCUUGGUGCUUCCCGGGUGAAUAGAAUAUCUUGAUUCGUGUGCUUCACCUAGAAUAUUUCUUUUAAGAUUUGUCAUGUUAGGAAUCCAAACCCUAUUAGCAAAUCUCCACGUUCUUUUUUUUUUCAUCUUUAACACUUAAGCACUCACCACCAGUUAGUUCUUAACGUCUUUCAUCAAUCAUUAACUCUUGUUCUUUUUGAUUCUUUCUAGUAAAUCCGGUUGUGCUAACAUCUCAUAAAUCCUUCCCUCCUAGUGCUCUGAAUUCUUAAUCUCCAAUCCUAGCUUUUCACCUUAAUCAAUUCCUUUGGAAAAGACAUAACAUUAACUCUUUCAGUUCCACUUAAUUCAUCAGCAACUACAUUCGCUUUCCCUGGGUGAUAGUUAAUUGUACAAUCAUAGUCCUUUAUCAACUUUAACCAUCUCCUUUGUCUCAUACUUAACUCUUUCUGAGUAAAUAAGUAAAUAUCCACACACUUUUCACCAUACAAGUAAUGUCGCCAAAUAUUUAAAGCAAAUACCAUCGCAGAUAAUUCUAGGUCAUGUGUAGGAUAUCUCAAUUCGUAGUCCUUAAGUUUCCUAUAAGCAUCUGCUAUCAUUUUUCUAUGUUGCAUAAUAACACAUCCUAGUUCAUUUUGAGAUACAUCACUAUAAAUCACAAACUUUCCUGUCUUAUUUGGUAAAGUUAACACAGGGGAAUAGUAAGUCGUUUCUUUAAUUCCAGAAAACUCUCUUCGCACUUAGGCGUCCAUUCAAAUUUCUCUUCUUUCCUAGUCAACUUGGUCAAAGGAAUUGCAAUCUUAGAGAAAUCUUGUACGAAUCAUCUACAAUAUCCUGCUAAUCCAAGAAUACUUCUCAUUUCUGUUCAGGUUAUCGGUCUAUCAUAAUUUGAUAGGGUCUCAAUCUUUAAGGGGUCUACCGACAUUUCUUCCUUAUAAACAAUAUGCCCUAAAACUGCGCUUGCUCUAUCAAAAUUCUCAUUUCAAAAAUUUUGCAGAUAACUUUUCUUUCCUCAAAAUCUUCCAAGUUAUUCAAAGAUACUUAACAUACUCUUCUUUUGUCUUAGAAUAAAUCAAAAUAUCAUUGAUGUAAUAAUAGUACACUUAUCCAAAUAUUCCUUAAAUACUCAUUUCAUAAGAUACAUAAUGGUUUUAGGUGCAUUAAUCAAUCCGAAAGGCAUCUCUAAGAACUCAUAAUGUUCAUGUCGGGUCCUAAAGACCGUCUUAGGUACAUUCUCAAACCUGAUUCUUUAACUAAUGGUAUCCAGAUCUCAAGUCCAUCUUAAAAAGUAGGAUGCUCUCUUCAACUGAUUAAACAAAUUAUCAAUCUUAGGUAAAGGGUCACCUUAUCCAACUUUCGAUAAUUAAUGCAACAAUCCUCAAAUCUGAGGGUCUAAAUUUGAUGUCUCCAUACAAGAACUUCUUGAAACACCUUUAAAAGAGAACUGUAUUUUUGAAAAGAACAAAAUCAAAGAAUUUGAAUUCUGAGCAUUUUGAAGAGAACUCAAAGGAAAUAAGAAUUUUAAAACUUUCUUGGAUAUAUAUAGAAGUCUUUCACAAUGGAAAUCACCAAUCAAUGAUUUUUCAGAAUAGCUUUCAUUUAAAACAAAAAGGAUGAUUGGGAGACCAAUUUCAUCAAAUGAACUAAGUGUUGCGUGUCCAAAUCAAGACACUACUAAAGGUUGUUAACCUUCUUGUAAUCACAACACACACAAGUGAUGGCGUCCCAUCCAACUCCUAUCACACAGAUAGGUAUACCUUGUGUCCCCUAUAAUUAGGGUUGUUCAUCCCAAUCAGACUGAAGAAAUUUCAAGGAAAUAAGAUUUAUAUCAAAGAUUUGCUUUUGAAUCGUUAUUUCACAGUUUUGACAAACUUGAUCUACCAUACUUGUUUCUUAACACAUUUCUUCCAAGGAAUGCGAGCAAUGCAUCCUUUAAUCACAAAUCAAGGAUUUUCAGUGGAUAGAAUCGAAAAUAGGAUCAAAUAUGGAAUAAUGAUCUCUUAGAUUUAUUAGAUUGAGAUCAUCAUUGUGGUAUAUGUGUAUUCCAUUUCUCGAAUAUUAAAUCAUGAAUCAUAAAAAAAAAAAAUUGUAUCGUCAAAGAAAUAUUGAUUAUUAGGAGUAGUCACUUCUAGACAAAGGAAGGACUCAAAAUACACUAUAAACUUCUCAGUUUUCAAAAUGAGGUUUGAGGUCGACUUGAGCCGAAACAGUGUGAAACGUAAUAUUAUUCAUAAAUGCUGUAUUCCAUAGAUCUUAUACUCAAGCAACAAGGGUCUCCUUUAUAACACGUGCGCAGUCUGCGAAGAUCUAAACCUUUGAUUUUCUUCUAUAUUACCUAUAUUCUCUGCUCUCGACAUCUCUACAAAAGGCUUCUUCACGCUAUGAUUCCAAGGUUUUUUUUUUUUCAAAAUCUUGAUUAUUCUGCGAGAGUUUCCUCUUCCUAUCGACUUUCUCUUUGUUAAACAACUCGCUACUUGACUUAACGAUACAAACUUUAUGCACUAACGUCGCAUAAUUAGUAAUUUCGAGAACAACUCUAUUCUGAAUCAAGGGCUUUAAGCUCGACUGAAAAACGUCUAGCUUUCUUUUCGUCCGUAGUUACUUGAUGUGGAAUAAAUUUCAAAAGUUCGAUAAACUUAGCUUCGUGUUCAGUUACUAACAUAUUUUCUUGCUUAAGCUCUAGAAAUUUGAGCUCCAUUUGACUCUCUAGGUGUUUAAGAACAUACUUCUCUAGGAAUAACUUUGUAAACAUAGUUCAUGAAAUCACACUAGACUCUUCUUGAAAUCUCUUAGCUUCCCACAAUAAUUAGCCUCUACCUUAAGCACAUAAGUAUCAAAGUUAGUUUUCUUAUCCUUUUCUACAUGAACUAUUUCAAAAGUUUUUCUCCACUUCUCUUAGCCAUAUCUUGGCCUCAACGGGAUCUACAGUGCCUUUUAACAAUAGGGGGUGUAAAAAUUUGAAAGAUUUGAAUGAAAGGGUAGGUCUGAUAAAUUGACUCGAAGAACUUCUUUCAGAAUUGUUUUGAAAUUUCUUGGUAUGUUAUUGAAGAAGAUCAACAAGUAAUUGAACAAGAUUGGGACUGGGCUGAAAUCUAGUUGAAGCAUCUGGUAUUGAUUCAUCAAUAGGGUCGUCAUUCAGGUUUAAAUCCAUCUUUAUAUAAAAGAGUAGACGAAACAGUUUAAUAGGUCUCAUCAUUAUACAAAAUACAAGGUUUAUCCAAAGGUACAACAAGGUGCAAUUUUAUAAAAUACACAGUAUAAAACUUUUGAAAACAGGUUCCACACUUUGGUUAAAAAGGCACUUGUACCAAAGUUGCAUAUUUUUGAAAACUUUUGCACCUUUUCUUUUGAAAACUCUAAACUUUAGAAACUGAAACAUUUCUCUUCUUGAAAACCUCUAAAAAGUUUAAAGGUUGAAGACUUCACAUUGGAUCAUUGAUGUAGCAAAUGCAAGAUAGCUGACAGAAAUGAGACAGGUCAAAAGUAGUUGACAAGUGCAAGAAGCAUAGGGAAGGUAGAGACAACGAAAGAGACAAGCAUAUGACAUAAAGAUUGAUCAUCCUUCCCAAGAUGGUAAUAAUAUCCGAAGCUUUAAGGUUACAGGUCAUAAUAUAGAUAGUACAUCUGGUUAUCAUCCUGUUACAUCUGGACAUCACUACACAAAAUAUCAUCUAUACACAUCUCUAUUUUCCGAAUGAUCUAUGGAUCGAAACUAUAGCCUCUGCAUAAAAAAGAUGGGCACGAUCCUCAAGUCCGAUAUUAUAUAAUGUCUAAUAUUCUCAAAAUACAUCAUAUACUAUAACUGAGAUACACACGGACUACGUGUGUAAACUCCCAAAAAUCAAACUAUACAACAAAUUUAUCAACCAAAUAUUUCUGAGACCCUAUGUUGGAACUCAGAAAAGACUAUAUUUAUCAAGUGUAAAAUUUACAUAUUCUAAGAUGAUGGAGGGUAUCAGUAUGGAGUCCCUCAAAUACAGGAACAAAAAUCUGAUACAAUUUUCACACUGAACUCUCGGGCAAGAAAAUCUGAAUCCGCAAAAACAGACAUAGGAUCAUAAGAUCCUGGAAUCCCACAUCUAGAGUCAUAAGUAGACUAUUUCAACAACUGGUACUGAUGGACCAAAGAAAGUGGUACAUAGUCGCCACCUGAUGGUACGGAAACUGGUGCAUAGAAAGAUCCACUAAUCUGACAAAGAGUGCAGAAACUGAAAUAGUGGAUAUGAAAGUAAAGGGUACACAAGUCUCUGUAAUGGUAGUAACAAGGGUGUAACUCGAACUCGAGGUUCAGAUAUGGUGUAAACACGGGUGUGCCUACUCAAAUCAAAGAGAGCAUGAAAGUUCCAAAAUCACAACGAUCAGAAGUAUGUGUGGUAACAUGGUUAUUUGGAAGAGGUGUAAGCUCAAAAUGUCGAAGAAAGUCUAAAAUGGAAGGUCUCCACUCUCGGAUGCAGGUGGACUAGAAGUGGUAACUGAAAAAGAAGUGGUCAAAGUAGGAACAGAAUUCAACUCAGGUAAAGAGGGGAGGAUCUCCAUCUUAUCAUUCUCAGUGAAUUCAGAAGAUGCUCUAUCCUCGGUCUCCUCAGAUAUUUGUUAAUGAUCUCAGGUGUUGGUGGUUCUAAUAUUUAUAUAAAAGAGUUCUCAUACUCACUAUCUCUUAUCUCAAUCUCCAUCAAUGUAUCAGAAUCGUCAUCAUAACCUGACAUCUACAUAAUACAACAAAUACCAUUAUUGAUAUUUACUACUACGAUUGCUCGUAACUAUAAACGUUUAAAUUUGUAGGGUCUACUAACCUUUACCUAAAAAUUUAUUCGGUACAUAUGUUCUCUAACAUAUGGAGAUAGGUUCUUCAAGGAUACCUAUCUUAAUCUUCGUGUCAUUCUCGCUCAUUAUAUUCCUAGGGUUUUUCGAAUCCUAAGGAUAUAACUACAGCUCUGAUACCAAACUUGUGACGCCCCCAGAUCCGCAUCCCGCAGAUCUGGUCCGCCACUGAACAUCUGGCUCAAAACAACACUUGCAUUCAUAUUAAUAUUACACAAUCCAACUCUUGCCCCACAAGUCCAAGGUCGAUCGUCUUACAACAUUACUACCGAGUCUAACUUUAUUACAUAAAGGGAAGUCUGAUUUCAGACCAUUAUAAUAACUAUAGCUCAUACUACCAAGCGGCGUACCAAAAACCAAUUUCCGGGUGGUUCCCUUGAGUUGUGCCAUACUCACUAUUUACUGCUCAAAAAGGAAUAAAAUAGAUGCAAGAAUGAGCAAUCAAAUUGCUCAGCAAGUCCACAUAGAACAAAACAACAAUCAACAGAAUAUGCACAUAAGGCAUAGAAAACAAUUCAAGUCAAAGCAACAAAACAGCUACCGUCAAAUGACAACACAAGUUCAAGUAAAGAAAAUGCUGGUCUUCCACCUUUCGGUAACACUACAUGGCUCGAUCAGCACCAUUUCGUGAAUACCGUUCUCCUGUGUAGUCCUAGUGGUCUGAUCGUAACCACUGAAGACACACCAACACUCUCUUUGCUAGCAUCAGGGUUUAACACUGGAACCCUACUAUCUGCCUUACCAGAUAGUCAAUUUCAACUCUACCACGAAUUUAAUAAAUUCGUGUUGACCAGCUUGAAAAGAUUCCUCCGAAUACAAGAAAAUUCUCCCAAACAAACACUUCUCAAUCAUCAUUACUUAUCUCUGCCAAAGAAGUGCGAACAAUGCACCCUUUCAACAAAGAUUACCCGAAGGUAGAAGUGAAGGAUAAUUAAAAGAAUUAAAUUCCAAAGAAUAAGAUGAUCUCCAAAAAGGAGUAAGUUAAUUGUGGUGAGAUCAUCGCUGCAAUGUGUUCACUUCAAGUUUCGAAGAUUCCAAAUAUUAUCGUUAUUAAGAACAGCUCAUUCCCGUACAAUGGGAGUGCUCGAAUUAGAAGAAGUAAUGUAUGAACAAUAUUUUUAGAGUCUUCAAAUGAAACGUAGAUAUCUUCUCGAUUCACAAUAGUAUGAAAUGUAAUAUCUUCACAAUCAACAUUUUUCACACAAUUAUCAAAUAGGCACGAAAAACUUCACGUCAAGAGAGGGAUAGUGAACUUGCCUGUCGUCCUUAGCUUCAAUCAUUUUUCAAAUUUAAUAUACAAUUGGCUCCGUCUCUUCCAGAGAAUAUAUAUUCUAAGCCAUGUAAAUUAGUACCUUUAGUAUUCUCAUUCACAGAAUAUAAGAAUCUCAAGAUAAUUUUAUUAUUAUUUAUAUCCGAUAAAUAUCAGGAAUUUGAUCGGAUAACUAUAUCCUUUUAAAAAUUCAAUUAAAUAUUAUCAUAUAUAUAAUUGCAUGAUUAAUUAUUUCAUUCUAACCCCAACCUCUUUUACCACCUAAUUCAUUUUAACCACUAACCAGUGAUUUUUGUUAGGCUUUAACAAGAUUCUAGAUUCUUGAUUUUAUCGAUUAGUCCCACCAGCUUUGCUUAACAUUUUUACUCUAUUAAAAGGAUUUUCCUUUUGUUCACUAAACCAAAAUCCCUCUAAUAAGCAAUAAACUUGCUCUUCCGCAGUAUGAUAUCUUUAGCUUAAUAAUUCCAAAAAAAAUCCAUAUUAUCUUAAUAAUUCAAAAUAUAUUAUUCACUUAAAUUAAUUAUUCAUUUACUUGAUACAAAAAUCCUCUACUUGUCAAAUCUGAUUAUUCACUAAAUAAUCGACAAUUUUAUUAAUAAGUUAAACCCAAAUAUUAUCUCGUUAGAUUUUCGAAUUAAUUCCAAUUACCAUAUUUUAAAUCCAACUAGACUCUUCUCCCAAAAUUAUUACUUUAAUAGUGUCCCCCAAAUAUUACCUAAAUCAGAAUCUUACACCAUUCACUUAUUAAAAGUCUUUAUUUCAAAUCCAACUUUUAAAUAAUCUCAGAUUUCUUAUUAUUUUUAUUGAUUAAAUAAUUUCAGUUUGCGAAGUGACCAAUCUAUUUUUUUUUUUUUUUUUUUUACUGUCGAUAGCUCCUCUCCUUUACACGCAAGAUAACCAAAAUCAGUUAGUUUUUCGAUUUAUAAUAAAGACCCAAGAAUAUUCACCCUAACUUAUGUUUGGGAAAAAGUCUACCGGCUUUUCAAAGAAAAGCUUAACUGUAUAUGAAUAAUACUAUGCAAUUUAUGAAGAAGGUACUAAAGUCUGCUAUAAAUUCUACUAUUAAUAAGAUAAUAUUCAUCUUAUUUAAUUAUAGAAAAGAAUUUACCUCAAUAAUUAAAGAUUGAUUGGCACCUUCCCUGAGUUCUCUUUGCAAAUUUUCUCUGCUGCUUAAAAUCUGCUCCCUUUCUAUUUCUCUUGUAAAAGAAAUAAUGUGUACACUCUCUUUAGUAUUUAUACUAGCUUUUAACUAUGAUGAGCUUAACCUAACCCUAGUUAAACCUUACUUGGAGGCUACACAACUGGUUUCUCAAGUACCCAGUUUUCUUGAUUCAAUGUGCAAAUACCACCGGCUUACCUAGUCGGUUAGUU